CAGAUUAUCCUGGUUUUGGAACUACAAUAUGGGCAAUGGACAAUUUCACCACAUUAUGCUCCACUAAUGCCUUAAAAAGUAACUGAGUGUUAACGACGCAGCAAUCCAGUUAUGUUCCAUCUCCCUGGCGCGGCGGCUUGACGGAGUCGUAAGACCGAUAAGCCCAACACAACCAUUAAAUCACCCUUUAAGGGUUUAUUAAGCCAGAAGUAAAUAUACGACUAAUAUAAAAGAAGACAUUUGCAUCUUGCGUCAAAACCUUUUUUACAAAUUCGGAAAAACAAUAGUACACGUGCGACCUCAAACCAUUUAAAACAUGGCAAUGUAUUAUUAUUUAUUUAUUCCAAACAGUUUACCGUUAUAGAUAUAUUUUGUUGUAACUGUAAUAAAA